GACGAACGCUGGCGGCGUGCUUAACACAUGCAAGUCGAACGGAAAGGCCCUGCUUGCAGGGUGCUCGUGUGGCGAACGGGUGAGUAACACGUGGGUGAUCUGCCCCUUACUUUGGGAUAAGCCUGGGAAACUGGGUCUAAUACUGGAUAGGACCAUGCUGUAGGUGGUGUGGUGGAAAGAUUAGUUUCGGUAAGGGAUGAGCUCGCGGCCUAUCAGCUUGUUGGUGGGGUAAUGGCCUACCAAGGCGUCGACGGGUAGCCGGCCUGAGAGGGUGGACGGCCACAUUGGGACUGAGAUACGGCCCAGACUCCUACGGGAGGCAGCAGUGGGGAAUAUUGCACAAUGGGCGCAAGCCUGAUGCAGCGACGCCGCGUGGGGGAUGACGGCCUUCGGGUUGUAAACUCCUUUCAGCCAUGACGAAGCCCUUGUGGUGACGGUAGUGGUAGAAGAAGCACCGGCUAACUACGUG
rnacentral:rRNA from 1 species